UACAGAGGGUGCGAGCGUUAAUCGGAUUUACUGGGCGUAAAGGGCGCGUAGGCGGUUUUGUGGGUGUGGUGUGAAAGCCCUGGGCUUAACCUAGGAAGUGCAUCGCAAACUACAGAACUAGAGUAUAUGAGAGGGUGGCGGAAUUUCCGGUGUAGCGGUGAAAUGCGUAGAGAUCGGAAGGAACGUCGAUGGCGAAGGCAGCCACCUGGCAUAAUACUGACGCUGAAGCGCGAAAGCGUGGGGAGCGAACAGG
rnacentral:rRNA from 1 species